UACGUAGGCAGCAAGCGUUGUUCGGAGUUACUGGGCGUAAAGGGUGUGUAGGCGGUGCUCUAAGUUCGGUGUGAAAUCUCCCGGCUCAACUGGGAGGGUGCGCCGAAUACUGGAGUGCUCGAGCGCGGGAGAGGAAAGCGGAAUUCCUGGUGUAGCGGUGAAAUGCGUAGAUAUCAGGAGGAACACCGGUGGUGAAGACGGCUUUCUGGACCGCUGCUGACGCUGAGACACGAAAGCGUGGGGAGCAAACAGG
rnacentral:rRNA from 1 species